UCGGGCAUGGUGUACGGUACAUCGCCUCCUCCCAUAAGAUUUGGGUUCUGAAGUUGCGCGAGGCAGCCCGGGGUUCGACUCCUCGUGUCCGAA